rnacentral:rRNA from 1 species
AUUGAACGCUGGCGGCAGGCCUAACACAUGCAAGUCGAGCGGAUGAAGGGAGCUUGCUCCUGGAUUCAGCGGCGGACGGGUGAGUAAUGCCUAGGAAUCUGCCUGGUAGUGGGGGAUAACGUCCGGAAACGGGCGCUAAUACCGCAUACGUCCUGAGGGAGAAAGUGGGGGAUCUUCGGACCUCACGCUAUCAGAUGAGCCUAGGUCGGAUUAGCUAGUUGGUGGGGUAAAGGCCUACCAAGGCGACGAUCCGUAACUGGUCUGAGAGGAUGAUCAGUCACACUGGAACUGAGACACGGUCCAGACUCCUACGGGAGGCAGCAGUGGGGAAUAUUGGACAAUGGGCGAAAGCCUGAUCCAGCCAUGCCGCGUGUGUGAAGAAGGACUUCGGAUUGUAAAGAACUUUAAGUUGGGAGGAAGGGCAGUAAGUUAAUACCUUGCUGUUUUGACGUUACCAACAGAAUAAGCACCGGCUAACUUCGUG